GCACAGGCAUACCAACUUUGAGAGAUUAAGGAUCAUGGGUAUGUGUGGAGCCCAUGUAGUCAGCUGCCCAAGGAGAGACAUCCCCAGUUCACUGAAAGAGUUGUGGCAACAAGGAGUUCAAACAGCAAUACAGAAAGUAAAUGGAAGCCAAUCUAAAGCCAUAUUAUCGACUAAUUCAAACCAAGGUGUUCAUCCUGAUUUUUACGCUUUUUAUCCAAGCCUGAAACCAUCAUGGGCAGGAGAGAUGAAUCUGUCAGGAACUUUGAGAAGGUUUGGUUCGUGCUUAUCUAGCACUUCUCGGGCUGUGUGCAUCAAUUGACGCAGAGGCUGAGGGUACAACCUCCUUUUCGGAAAAAAUCUAACACUUUUGCAUUAUUCCCUACUGCACACGAAGCAAUGGAGAUUAUGGACCAGUCUGCAAUGGAUCUCAAAUUUGUUGACAUCUCGGUGAUGUGCAAGGCAAGGAAGCUGUAUGAAUCUGCCAUUUGUCUUGAACCUGAAAUUCUCAGAGCUGCAUUGCCAUUGCGUGAUUUGCGUGUUGGUGAAUGCCCGAUCAAUGAUGCAAUUUUGCUACUUGAAAGAUAUCAGCACAAUGGCCAAAUGAUUCUCAACGCAAUGUGCUUCCCCCUUUGGUGCUUUGUAUAACUAGAUACUUCGUGAAGAGUCAAUAGAAAGGCUUCCAUUUCCCCCCCCCCCCCCCCCCAAAAAAAACUUUCCCACUCAAUCUCCCCAAAGGUUACGAAAUAACUGAAGACCAGAACGUGGACAUGUAGUUGCUGAAAGGAUGCUGGGGCAAGGAAAGUACAAAAUUUUCUCGGUUUAUGCAAAUGCUAGUUUACCUUGGAUCGUGCAUAUAAUUUAUUUGGUCACAUUCUAGCCCUCACAGUUUUUUUUUUGAGAAAAUGCAAAAGGCUUGCGUUUCUUUGUAUUGAAAAGAAAGAGAGUUCGUUACAGCCUCCUAGGAGGAAUCAUUAUAGGCAUGAAUCAGUGUACGUCCCAGGUUUGAGGGAGAAUGGC